rnacentral:rRNA from 1 species
UUUUAGUUUGCAACCCCGAAACUAAGUGAGCUACUUCGAAACAGCCUUACGAGCUAACCCGUCUCUGUUGCAAUAGAGUGGGAAGAUUUCCAAGUAGAGGUGAUAAGCCUAUCGAACUUAGAGAUAGCUGGUUACUCAGGAAAAGAAUUUUAGUUCAACCUUAAGUUUUAGCUAAACAAUUUAUAAAUUCACCCUUAAACUUAAGAGCUAUUCAAAUAAGGAACAGCUUAUUUGAAAAAGGAUACAACCUCCACUACAGGGUAAAGUAUUAAUCAUGAAUAUAAAGUGGGCCUAAAAGCAGCCAUCUUUUAAAAAGCGUUAAAGCUUAGUAUACUCUAAAUUUUAAAUNUCUCAACUCCCCCUAAGCCCGUUAUUAUACUGAGUGAUUUUAUAUUUNUAUAAAAGUCAUUAUGCUAGAACUAGUAACAAGAAAUAGAUUUUCUCCAAAAUGUAAGCUUAAGCCAGAAUAGACAACCUACUGGUGAUUAACGUUGAUGUCUUUAAUAUAAUAACACCCCCUAGAAAACNCUAUUAUUACUGAACGUUAAUCUUACACUAGAUCAUUAUUGGAAAGAUUAAAAGAAAAAGAAGGAACUCGGCAAAUAGUAGCCUCGCCUGUUUACCAAAAACAUCGCCUCUUGACAAAACAUAAGAGGUCCAGCAUGCCCAGUGAUAUAUUUNAACGGCCGCGGUACUCUAACCGUGCGAAGGUAGCACAAUAACUUGUUCUUUAAAUGUGGACUAGAAUCAAUGGCAUCACGAGGGUUACACUGUCUCCUUUNUCUAAUCAGUGAAACUGAUCUCCCCGUGAAGAAGCGGGGAUAAAUUUAUAAGACGAGAAGACCCCAUGGAGCUUCAAACUCAAUAAUACCUCUUUUAUUUAAUAACCUAAAAAUUUACAGGAAAGAUAUCUAUUGGUUUUGGGCUGGGGUGACCGCGGAGUAAAACUUAACCUCCGUAAUGAAUAGAUUAAAACCUUAAUCCAAGAGCUACAUCUCUAAGAAUUAAUAAAUUAACAUAAACUGAUCCGAUAUAUUCGAUCAACGAACCAAGUUACCCUGGGGAUAACAGCGCCAUCCACUUCAAGAGCCCCUAUCGACAAGUGGGUUUACGACCUCGAUGUUGGAUCAGGGUAUCCUAGUGGUGCAGCCG